UUCGCGCCAUAACAGAAUUGAACAUAACCAAGUAAAGAGUGAAAUAUAGUGAGCACGUCUGAUCGAUACCGUUGUUUUAUAUUCUAUUUAUUUUUCGUAUCAAUUUUUCGUGAAAAUGUCGCAAGAAGAAGACAAAAAAUUAUUACAAGGUGUGGAAGCCAGUUAUAAAAGGAAAUGGAAAGGUGCAAAAAUUCAGAUUGCCGUUUCGGCCGAUAGUUCAACUUCAUCGAAUGAACCACAACCUUCUACGUCGAUUCAAACACCAAAUAUCCCAGAAUACAAUCCCAACUCGAGCCAAUCGAUUAAAUGUGAAGCCGGCCAUUCUAAUGCACAGCCUUCAUUUCCUAAACAACAGCCUUUUACGUCGAAACAACUACCAACUAUCCCAGAAUACAUACCCAACUCAAGCCGAUCGGUUAAAUGUGAAGUUUUUCAUUCUAAGGCACAGCCUUUUACUUCGAAUCAAACAGCAAAUACCCCAGAAAACCUUCCCAUGUAUGAAUGUUUAGUUUGCCAUGGUGAAUUCCCAAACUUUAAUUAUUUUGACACUCAUAAAAAAAAACACAAAGAAAAAAAUAUUUGUUGCGUUUGCAAAAAACUAUUUGAAAGCGCUGAUAGUCUUAACAAACAUACGGAGCUAUUUGGAAGAAAAUUCACUUGCUGCAUAUGUGGAAGAAAAAGAGAUGAUUCGAAUGCAUACACAUUUUAUUCUCAUAGUACCAAAUGCACGCGACGAAGUCGGCCAUAAUCAUCAUCACAUUGAACGGAACAUAAAACAACAAAAACUGAUCACAUGACAAACAGGUGACAUACUGUGCCUGUGCAAAAAUUGGUUUAAUCAUUACUGACAACUUUCGGCGAUUCUGUUGCGAUACAAUUGGAGUAUUUUAAAUGAUCGAUGACAAUCCACCAUAAGAGAAAAAGACGACUUUGAAAUGUCAUUCAAAAACAUCAUUACAUUCACAGUUAUACAAAGAUCACAGUUGCUGGCAUAACCGGUUAAAUUGAAGCGAAUCGACCGCCAAUAACAGGAUAAGGAAGAAAAGUAUCGAUCAUCACAGA